CCAAUAGCGUAUAUUAAAGUUGUUGCAGUUAAAAAGCUCGUAGUUGAAUUUCGGGAUUUAUCCGUUGGUCGGGCUUUUGGGUCUGUACUGGCGUGAUGGAUUCCUACCUUCUGAAUAACCAGCAUGCCAUUAAUUUGGUGCGUUGGGGAAGCAGGACUGUUACCUUGAAAAAAUUAGAGUGCUUAAAGCAGGCUAUUGCCUGAAUACAUUAGCAUGGAAUAAUGAAAUAGGACGCAUGGUUCUAUUUUGUUGGUUUCUAGGAUCACCGUAAUGAUUAAUAGGGAUAGUUGGGGGCAUUAGUAUUCAAUUGUCAGAGGUGAAAUUCUUGGAUUUAUUGAAGACUAACUUCUGCGAAAGCAUUUGCCAAGGAUGUUUUCAUUAAUCAAGAACGAAAGUUAGGGGAUCGAAGACGAUCAGAUACCGUCGUAGUCUUAACCAUAAACUAUGCCGACUAGGGAUCGGACGAUGUUAAUUUUUUAAUGACUCGUUCGGCGCCUUACG
rnacentral:rRNA from 1 species